UACGGAGGAUCCAAGCGUUAUCCGGAUUUAUUGGGUUUAAAGGGUGCGUAGGCGGCUUAUUAAGUCAGGGGUGAAAGACGGUGGCUCAACCAUCGCAGUGCCCUUGAUACUGAUGAGCUUGAGUACACUUGAGGUAGGCGGAAUGUGACAAGUAGCGGUGAAAUGCAUAGAUAUGUCACAGAACACCAAUUGCGAAGGCAGCUUACUAAGGUGCAAUUGACGCUGAGGCACGAAAGCGUGGGGAUCAAACAGG
rnacentral:rRNA from 1 species